AUUGAACGCUGGCGGCAGGCCUAACACAUGCAAGUCGAACGAGUGGCGGACGGGUGAGUAAUGUAUGGGAAACUGCCCGAUGGAGGGGGAUAACUACUGGAAACGGUAGCUAAUACCGCAUACUAUCGGAUGUGCCCAUAUGGGAUUAGCUAGUAGGUGGGGUAACGGCUCACCUAGGCGACGAUCCCUAGCUGGUCUGAGAGGAUGAUCAGCCACACUGGGACUGAGACACGGCCCAGACUCCUACGGGAGGCAGCAGUGGGGAAUAUUGCACAAGGGGCGCAAGCCUGAUGCAGCCAUGCCGCGUGUAUGAAGAAGGCCUUAGGGUUGUAAAGUACUUUCAGCGGGGAGGCGUUACCCGCAGAAGAAGCACCGGCUAACUCCGUGCCAGCAGCCGCGGUAAUUC
rnacentral:rRNA from 1 species